UACGUAGGGCGCAAGCGUUGUCCGGAAUUAUUGGGCGUAAAGCGCGCGUAGGCGGUUACUCAAGUCGGAUGUGAAAGCCCUCGGCUUAACUGAGGAAGUGCACUCGAAACUGAGUAGCUAGAGUACUAAAGAGGGUCGCGGAAUUCCCGGUGUAGAGGUGAAAUUCGUAGAUAUCGGGAGGAACACCGGUGGCGAAGGCGGCGACCUGGGUAGAUACUGACGCUGAGGCGCGAAAGCGUGGGGAGCAAACAGG
rnacentral:rRNA from 1 species